rnacentral:misc_RNA from 1 species
AAAAUUACUUUUAAGGAAUCGUGAUCAGGGCUUACAAUGUAAUCCAAACACUACUAAAGAUGCCGACAAAGGCAAAGAUCCAUCUAUAAAAUAAUAAUAAUAAUUAAAUAAAUAAAAACAAAAACGAAAAACUAUAAAUCCAACAGGAUAAGUUUCUCUGCUCAAUCCUCAAAAUCUCCAGCAUUUUCCAACAGGUAGUUAGCUGCCAAUUCCUCAUUGCGAUCACAAGCCAAAAAUGCCUCGAUAACAAGGGCUCUAUCAAAUCCCAUUGCCUCGAGCCUUUCAAUAGCCUCCUGUUCGGCAGGGGUUACGUUGAUAGCAUGAGGCAUGUCUUGGUCAACCUGAUCAAAUAUAUCCCCUUCAGACUCUUCAAGAGGUUCAUUUAUUAACUGAAGAAAUUCAGCAUGAUGUUCUUGAAUCAUUCUUAAUAGGUGAGGAUUUUGCUUUC